rnacentral:rRNA from 1 species
GACAGAGGUCCCGAGCGUUAGGCGGAAUCACUGGGCUUAAAGCGUGUGUAGGCGGAUUGGUAAGUACCUUGUGAAAUCCCACGGCUCAACCGUGGAACUGCUUGGUAUACUGCUUAUCUUGGGCCACUUAGGGGUUACCGGAACAAACGGUGGAGCGGUGAAAUGCGUAGAUAUCGGGAAGAACACCCGUGGCGAAGGCGGCUCUCUGGGACGGUACUGACGCUGAGACGCGAAAGCGUGGGGAGCGAACAGG